UGCCACAUCCUGACGGGAGAGAAGGUGGCCAUUAAAAUCAUGGAGAAGAAGGAACUGGGGGAGGACCUUCCUCGUGUGAAGGUGGAGAUAGAGGCCAUGAAGAGUCUGAGCCAUCAGCAUGUCUGUAGACUGUACCAUGUUAUCGAGACUAAUACCAAGAUAUACAUGAUCCUGGAGUAUUGUCCGGGAGGAGAGCUGUUUGACUACAUCAC